rnacentral:rRNA from 1 species
AUGAUGGACGCCAAGGUGCCAGCGUCCAGGGCCGGAGCGCUCAGCUGUGGCGUGAGGGGGGAGGCGUGGGCCACAGUGGCGCUGCCUGCGCCGGGAUGCGGCGGCGGGAAGCUCGAGGCGGAGGUCGUGGUCGAGGUGAGCGGCGAGGACAGGCUGGUGGAGAAGGUGAGGAUCGGGGUGUUGUUGGAUUGUAGGUACGUGAGCGUCGACGCGGGGCUCAGAUACUUGCAGCAUUUCCUCUUGUAA